AUGUUGGUCCAUCACCACCUCAACAACCAGCGUUCGUUGUUCCGUGGCUCCAUUCCGGGCCACCUUCCGGCGUUGAAUCGUAACCGGGAGAGCGGGCAUUUCCUUCUCUGGAAGGACUACUUUGAUACAACAAACCCAUUGUUCAAAUAUCACAAAUUCCGCCGCCGGUUCCGUUUGAGUAGGCAUGUUUUUAAUCGUAUUAGAGAGGGAGUGGCCGGCUAUGAUGACUACUUCAAGUGCAAAGGGGAUGCCGUCGGCAAGAUUGGUUUCUCCUCUUAUCAGAAAUGCACUGCCGCCAUCCGAAUGCUUGCAUACGGAGUGCCCGGUGAUCUCAUUGACGAGUACGUCCGUAUGAGCGAGUCUACAUGCCUAGAGUCCCUGUAUAAGUUUUGCAAGGCUGUGAUUGCUGUGUUUGGCCCUGAGUACUUGAGAGAGCCGACAGCUGAAGAUACAGCCCGUUUGUUGGCGAUGAAUGCUAGCAGGGGCUUCCCGGGGAUGCUUGGCAGCAUAGACUGCAUGCACUGGGAGUGGAAGAACUGCCCUUCUGCUUGGCAAGGGCAGUAUAAGGGACAUGUCAGGGCUUGCACUGUCAUACUAGAGGCCGUGGCGUCUCAAGAUCUCUGGAUCUGGCACUCUUUCUUUGGCAUGGCUGGAUCACACAAUGAUAUCAACGUGCUUCAGCGCUCGCCGGUGUUUGCUAGGCUUGCCGAAGGCGUCUCGGCCUCCUCCAACGCCGGCGCCCCGGCCCCCUCCAUAGGCGUCUCGACCGGCCCCUUCUACCGGCGGGCCUCCAGCUCCAUGAGCUCUGCCACACCGACAUCGACAGUGGAUCCACUCGGCGAGCUAGCAGAGGAGGAGCGGCACUGA
rnacentral:rRNA from 1 species